rnacentral:rRNA from 1 species
AUUGAACGCUGGCGGCAUGCCUUACACAUGCAAGUCGAACGGUAACAGGGUGCUUGCACCGCUGACGAGUGGCGAACGGGUGAGUAAUGCGUCGGAACGUGCCGAGUAGUGGGGGAUAACGCAGCGAAAGUUGUGCUAAUACCGCAUACGUACUGAGGUAGAAAGUGGGGGACCUUCGGGCCUCACGCUAUUCGAGCGGCCGACGUCUGAUUAGCUAGUAGGUGAGGUAAAGGCUCACCUAGGCGGCGAUCAGGAGCGGGUGUGAGAGGAUGAUCCGCCAGACUGGGACUGAGACACGGCCCAGACUCCUACGGGGGGCAGAAGUGGGGAAUUUUGGACAAUGGGCGAAAGCCUGAUCCAGCCAUGCCGCGUGUCUGAAGAAGGCCUUCGGGUUGUAAAGGACUUUUGUCAGGGAGGAAAUCCCUAGUGCUAAUAACACUGGGGGAUGACAGUACCUGAAGAAUAAGCACCGGCUAACUACGUGCCAGCCGCCGCGGUAA